rnacentral:rRNA from 1 species
GACGAACGCUGGCGGCGUGCCUAAUACAUGCAAGUCGAACGCAGUGGGGGCGGGUGAGUAACACGUGGGUAACCUCCCAUCAGAGGUGAUAACACUUGGAAACAGGUGCUAAACCGCUACUGCUUGAUGAACCCGCCGUGCCUUAGCUAGUUGGUGAGGUAACGGAUCACCAAGGCCACGAAGCAUAGCCGACCUGAGAGGGUGAUCGUCCACACUGGGACUGAGACACGGCCCAGACUCCUACGGGAGGCAGCAGUAGGGAAUCUUCGGCAAUGGACGAAAGUCUGACCGAGCAACGCCGCGUGAGUGAAGAAGGUUUUCGGAUCGUAAAACUCUGUUGUUAGAGAAGCGGUAUCUAACCAGAAAGCCACGGCUAACUACGUGCCAGCAGCCGCGGUAAUUC